GCUAAGGUUCGAUGUUUUUUUUUGAACAUCGACUUUAACUUGCUGGAUGCCAACGAUGAGAAUGGCGAAGAUGGAAACGAGGUGGAGAGAGCUAAAGAAGAUGCUUCUGUCCCCCAGUUCUUGCCUAUAGUCGAGACUUCCGAGCUAGGAGCUCCCUCCGAGCAAGGUGCCCCUGCUCCAGCUAAAGCUAAGGCUUCUUUUUCUUGCUUCUUUUGGUAAUUAGGUUUGGGUA
rnacentral:lncRNA from 1 species